CUUUUUCUUUUUUUUUUUUUAAGUCUUGUAUUUUCUUCAGUCUUCCAGAUCUACUUUGUUUCAGGGAAAAAGAGAACUGUCCACUGUUCUUGAGGUACAGUCAAAAUUUGGAGUUGCAGUUUGUCAGCGUUCUCUAGCCUUGCUGUAUAUAUACUUCCCAAUAAAUUCACAAGUUUUGCUUUUUUUUAAUUGCUGCUGAUUUUUGUCUUUGUAUGAUAACACACUUUUCUGUUAAAGCCCCAAGAUCUCACUCUUGAGUGAUAAUGAUCAGCCUGGAGAAAAUCAUUUAAUAGAUCUGAAAAUAAUCUGCCAGAAACCAGAGUCCUAUUUAUGCAAAAAGUUUGAAAAGAGGAUAACAGAACAGAUGACCACACUGAAACAAUCAUAAAGAUAAUAAGAAUUAUUGUAUGGCAAGACAGACAAACAUUGGUGACCUUCAUGCAAACUGUCUCCAAAAUCAGUGCACUUACACCAGAAUGUUUAUUUUUAAUUUUGUUCUCUAAUAAAGCAGCAGAAUUUUCCAUCCACAAAAAGUCAUCACUAUUUACUCAGCUGUAUUAAUGCUAUUAAUCAUUUAUAGAGCGUCAUAAAUUUGUGCAGUGUUUUACAAGCUGAAAAGUAUCCUAUAACUCAAAGAGAUCACGUACAGAAGACAAAUCAUAUACUGAACAAAAAUCUACAUUUUGAGUGAAAAAAAUCUGAGAAAGGCUUAAAGAAAAUCAUGUUUUCCAGUAAAGCAAGGCUUUACUUGAAAAAAAUGUCUGAUCUAAUUUUGUAGCUGACUGAAAAAGCUAGGUCAGAACUCGUAGCACUUUCCUAGCUCCAGAAGAAAAUCAAGUGAAAUCAGAGACCAAUUACAAUAUUCAUCAGAGAACAAAAGGAAACAACUUGUAAGAUAUUAAGGAAACAGCCAGAAAGAGGUUUCUUUACAGAAUCUAUCACCUUGUAGAGGGAAAUCUACAAUGAAAUAAAGUUAUCCAGGGCUAGUACAACUGUGGACUAGAGGUCAUGCAAAAUGAAAUAUACGUCCUCACAUCCUUAUAUUCUUAUCUCAGUGAUACUGGGCUGCAGUUCAGUAAAACCUUAUCUCAAUGUGAUCAAAACUGCACUGGAAUUUCAGGCUAACUAGCCUGCAUUUUGGAAGCAGAGAGUUUUGCCAUUCUUGAUCCAGUUCUUUUCUUUCUUACUAGGGAAAGUUGAUUAUUUCUAAAUCUAAGAAAACAUAUCUCAAAAUGUCAAGCAAAAGUCAAGUUGUGAACUGGCUUACAUGGCACUUUCUUAUGUUUAUUUCCCUAAUCUCAACUAAGCAGACUGAAAUUUCUCUUUUCUGUAUGUCAGAUGAGUUUUUCAAACACUUGGGUUCACAGUAAAGGAUGUUUUGUUUGCAUGCUU